rnacentral:sRNA from 1 species
GCUGGGCAUGGUGGCACACACCUGUAAUCCCAGCAACUCUGGAGGCUGAGACAGGAAGAUUGCAAGUUUGAGGCCAGCCUCAGCAACUUAGUGAGGCCUAAGCAUCUUAGUAAGAUCCAGUCUCAA